UACGGAGGGUGCGAGCGUUGUCCGGAAUCACUGGGCGUAAAGGGCGCGUAGGCGGCAGGCCAAGCGUGCGGUGAAAGUCCGGGGCUCAACCCCGGAUCUGCCGUGCGGACUGGUUUGCUAGAGCACUGUAGAGGCGAGUGGAAUUCCGGGUGUAGCGGUGGAAUGCGUAGAGAUCCGGAAGAACACCAGUGGCGAAGGCGGCUCGCUGGGCCGGUCCUGACACUGAGACGCGAAGGCGUGGGGAGCGAACGGG
rnacentral:rRNA from 1 species